AGGAUAAUAGUUAAUAAUAACAUUUAAUUUGCAUUUAAAAAGUGUUGGACUACCAACUUAUCUUA
rnacentral:tRNA from 1 species